rnacentral:misc_RNA from 1 species
GAUGAAGAACGUAGCGAAAUGCGAUAAGUAGUGUGAAUUGCAGAAUUCAGUGAAUCAUCGAAUCUUUGAACGCACAUUGCGCCCCUUGGUAUUCCAUGGGGCAUGCCUGUUCGAGCGUCAUUUGUACCUUCAAGCUCUGCUUGGUGUUGGGUGUUUGUCUCGCCUCUGCGCGUAGACUCGCCUCAAAACAAUUGGCAGCCGGCGUAUUGAUUUCGGAGCACAGUACAUCUCGCGCUUUGCACUCAUAACGACGACGUCCAAAAGUACAUUUUUACACUCUUGACCUCGGAUCAGGUAGGGAUACCCGCUGAACUUAAGCAUAUCAAUAACGGAGGA